UCUAGCACGCCGACGCCUCCUCUUCAUCCCCCGUAGUCCCCGAUCCGUCCAGCUUCACCAGAUCUGCCCCCUCCCCAUGCAACAGCCACCGUCUGCGAUGCUCGCCGCCCCAUCUCCCUGCCUGGCGACCACGAUGCUCGCCAUGCCCCCGCCCACCCCUGCGCAACUGCCACCGUCCAUCCCACUCUCCACCCUGCGUCCGCGAUGCUCGCCACGUCCGUCGUCCCCAGUCCUCGGUGCCACGUCCGCCACCAAAGGGUAAUGACCAUGAAUGUAUGCUGGCAAGAGGGUAAUGACUACUGUGCUCAAUUAGGGGAAUCACGUCUGCAAUUCAUAAAUGGAGCAUCAUUUGGGUCUGAACUUUGUACAACAUCAUCUCCUUAAAACAUAUGUAUGGACAACAGAAGAAAAAGAUCCAGUAGAAAAGAUCUAUCGCGAAACGCAUGGGCUUGAAGGAGUUCAAAAUGGGAUGCUCGACAUGGUUCUUGGUGAUCCAUAGAAUGAGCACCCUGAUCUCUGUUCUCCUCGGUUCCUGCGUGUGUGGAAAAGUAGCGGGAUGGCCUAUGACCCUUAAGAACUCAUCUGGAGCGAAGAGCAGCUGAGCAGGUUGUUGGCCUGCAUCCAAGUGAGUCGGCAAUGAACCACAGUGCAAUUGGAGAUCGACAUCAGCCCCCUAAGUCAGCAAAGGUCUCAGCAACACCUCCAGCUCCCUCAGUUGAGCGCCCUUAUGUCUGCUGCUAGAGACUCUCCACCAACUGCAUAUCCUAUUCUGCUUUUAAUUAACUAUGUGCAUGCUGCAAGCUAUUCAGGUCGACAUAUUUCCUAGGGCAGAUGCUCUGAUGGUACCUUUGUUCCUUUUCUUUUGCUCUCUCCUUUUGUUGUGGCACAUGAAAAUUAUCAGACUAUUUGUGGAAAUCUGAUGUUCUUUAUAUUAACCAGAUCCAAAAACACCAUUCUAAUGUUUCAGUAUUGCUCAUGUAGAAGAAUGGUGAACACUAGAAGGUUGUGGAGUCCUAAAGACGAGCAAGCCUGGGUCCAUGAUAGAUUUGAUGAGAUGGAUAUGCAUGGUUUUCAUGGUGACAAUAUCGGUCAGAAACUUCAAGCCUUGAACGUGGUCUUCAGCUUCCUGGUCGGCGAGUGGGAACUUGAUCUCACUGUUGUGUAACUGCUUGCUGUUGUCCCUCUUGCACAACUUAGGUUCUUUAUGAUGUUCUAAUCUACAAAUGUGUUAGAAGACGGCCGGAUCUUGUGUGACUGGCAAGAUUUACCAUUUAAAAACCAUGCCCCCGGAGAAUGAGGAGAAUUCUAUCCGACUUAUUACACGUUCUGAUGCCACAUUUGAGAAGGUUCUGUUAAUAUCCACCCAGUAACUUUUUUGUUUUGUUUCCUGUCAUCUAAAGAUCAAAGAUCCUAAGAAACAAUUUCUGGUUUAUGGGUCUAGCAGAGCCAGAACUGAGCACCUACAACUCUUUUAAGUUAAGCAACACAAGUUGAAUUCAUGGGAGCAUGUGGUUUGUUACCAAGAUCCGCUGUAUAUACAUAUGACUUAUCAAUGAUUUUCAGGUUGUUGUAACUAUCCAGUAUCGUACAACUGACCUGUUACCUAGGGGGAAACACUGCAUGAGUGUUGUUGGUAUCCUUGUCUGAUAUGAGGCGGAGCGGGUGAUUCUUGCAGGAGGAGGGAGUGAUUCUCCUAGAGGUGGAGGAGGAUGAAGUGGUGAUAGACUUCAAGCCAACUCCAAGUGUUGUGUCGACCUCUGCCUCCGCUCCCUGCACACAUCCCUCCCAGUCGUCUUCAAGGUCCAGACCUCCUCCCUGCUCAAGUUCCUCAUCAGCACGUUGCGCGGUGUCGUGUCGUCGCUUUCCUCGGUGUCCAUACGCGUCGUGCGAGGCAUCCCGCUUCAUCUCUAAUCACCUUUAUGUGCACAUCCUCCAUAUGUGACCCCCUUCUCCAUAUAAUUUCAACAAUUUUUACUCUUUUAGGCUCCAUGUAAUUUCAUUAGUAAAAUCUCUACUAACUAUUAGGGCUGCAAAGUUAACAUGUC